AUCCAUGAGGAUGAGGGUUUGAUCCCUGGCCUUACUCAGUGGCUUAAGGAUUCAGCGUUGCUGUGAACCACGGUAUAGGUCACAGAUAUAGUUUGGAUCUGGUGUUGGUGUUGUUGUGGCUGUAGCUUUGGCCUGCAGCUGCAGCUCUAGUUCGACCCCUAGCCCAGGAACUUUCAUAUGCCAUGGGUGCAGCCCUAAAAAAAAAAAAGUAUUAGGCUUAGAAAUAUAGUGUAAUUAACAUAUAUGGUUAUAAAUGUUUUGUUAUUGUGCCCUAAAAAAUUAUCAGCUUUGACCUGAUCAAUCUUUAAAAGACACAGGAGCUGGACUCUUGUAAAAUGAGCACCAGAACGAAGUCAGGCAGAAAGUCACUGAAAUUCACUCCUGGCUUCUGGACAUUCUAGUUGUAUGAACAUGGACUUGACAUAUAAUGCCUUUUUCUAAAUUUGUGCUCCCAUAUCUUUAAGGCACAGGUAAUUAAUACUUCAAGGUGAGGAUUAUACAAGAUACAUAGUAGUAUACACAGUAAAUGUACUAUAUGUACUACUGCAUGUAGUAGACAUAUAGUAAAUAUUGGAUAAUUUCGAAUCAAACUGAAAUACUUUAAUACUUUAUUGUUUCAUUGUUUUGUCUUUCCCCCAGGGCUUUAUUUUACUUUAUUUAUUUAUUUUUUACUUGUUUAAAAAGUUAAGGAGAUGGGCAGAGGGAUGAAACAGAAGUGUUCAGAAAGAAAUCUGGCGCAUUCAUGCUGUCAAGGGGAUUGUGGGUAUGCAAUUUCUAAAACUUAAGUUUUAGCUUUAGGACUGCAAAAUGAACUCUGCUUGAGGGUGGAGCUCAGUGGUGCUUCAUAUACUGACUCCCUAAGGAUUUAUAGACUUAACAAAUUCAAACCACUGUUACCUCUAAUGUCAUUUCUCUUUCUUUCUUUUCUUUCUCUCUCUCUUUUUUUUUUUUUGUCUUUUUACCCUUUUUAGGGCCACACCUGAGGCACAUGGAAGUUCACAGGUUAGGUGUCUAAUUGGAACUCUAGCCACCGGCCUACGCCACAGCCACAGCAACUCGGGAUCUGAAACGGCAUCUGUGACCUACACCACAGCCCACAGCAAUGCCAGAUCUUUAACCCACUGAGCAAGGACAGUGAUUGAACCCGCAACCUCAUGGUUCCUAGUUGGAUUUGUUAACCACUGAGCCAUGACGGGAACUCCUCUAAUGUCAUUUCUAACUGGUAUAUCCUACGUGAUAAUAUGAGGCCUUUAUGCCUGGAACCUCUGGAUGAGCUACAAAUUGAUGUAAAUUAGUUGACCCAAUUUUGGAUGAACCAAGGUGACCUAGCAAAAUGCAAACUCAUCCUAACAGUAGGGCUGUUUGUUCAUUUCCCUUUGGGAGGCCUGAAUGCAAUGGGAUAUACAACACUGUCCAAAGACAUCUCUAGAUAUGCUGCUCCCCAAGUUGAUGCUUCCCUGAAUGAUAAAGCAGCACCAGAAAGUACUGAAUGGCCAACCCUAGCAAGCCAUUCUACAAAUUACUGUCUCCAGAAAGUGCUGGCUUCUCAAGGAUGCCAAACAUAGCAAGGACACUUUGGGGGGGGGGCUGCCUGCAGAUAUUUAGGUAACUUGAGAACACCAGAGUCUUCCCAAAAGCAUUAGGGGAAGCCACCAACCUCCCAUGUCUAUAGUCAUUUGGGCUCACACAAGCAUGGCCUUGAGGGGCACUCAAACCUCAGUCCUGGUACUGGGAUGACUUCUGUGCUGGAAAAUUGCAUCCAUAGCAAUCCCGUGUGGGACUUGACCUCUCCAUCCCAGUUGACUAUGGAAGGAAGCCAAAGAAGGGAGAGGGGGUGUUGGUGCAUAUAUUUGCAUUUGCCAUUUUUAUUUGCCUCUGGGACAUUAGACUGCAGGUCUCCUUAAGCAUGAACUGUUUGUUAAAGUCUGGUGUUGGCUUUUGUGGACCGGUCUAGCCAAGAGUUGUUUUAGCCCAAAUGGGGAGAUGGGGGUGGGGAUGGGGUGGGGUAAGACAUCUGCAGAGCCCAACAACCGUUACCAAGGCCUACCUUAGCUCUGCCUCUACCUGCCAAAUGGUAAACAAAGCCCCUGGGAGAACUCGGGCGAGCUGAACACCUUGGUCAAACACUAAGCAAACCACCACCAGGUGUGCUUGCAGAACAGACUCUCCAUCAGCGUCCUGUCAUGCAGAAAAUGUUUAUCCAAUUUGUCAAGAUAAUCUUUCCUCAAAUAAGCCGUGGGCAUACUCCUUGGAACAGCCUGAAUUUAGUAGGUAUAAUGUAACUCUAUUUUUUUCACCCAUUUUUCCUUUAAUCGCUGUGUCAACUUUUCCCCGGCUUUAAGCAAACUGAAAGUAAUUAUAUCAUUCUUAAGUGAGUAAUCUUUUGACUGGGUUAGCUGAUUCGUGAGUUACUCUGAAAUUCUUCUAAACUGUGCAGUCCUUUUCCAAACACAUUUUCUUAGAUGUUUCACAAAGUUCGGCUCAUCGAUGACCCAUGGAUGUGUUUAUUCUGUCACGUUUUGUGGCUCCGCCAUGACUAUAUUAGGACAUCUGAAAAGAAGUUGAGUGUAGAAAUUUGAGAGAAGGGAAAAAAGGUAACUUCACCUACUAAUUUAGGUAUUCCUGGGAAAUAUGACUGUCAUUGUAAAUAACUUGCAGCUUCAAGCAUGAAGAAUGUUUGAUUAGUGCUUUGAAUCACAGUGUAGUAUUAAAGGCUGGGCUUCACGGACUUAAAAGCAUUCACUUCUUUCAUUUCAUUCUAUAAUUUCCUUGCUGUUUGGUACCCGGUGUGAUAUUGUUUUGUUUAAAAAACAGAAACGCUCAAGGUUACCACAUUUUUCUUAGUUCUACUCAUUGACAUACUCCCACAGAACUCAUGAAAAAUUUAAAAAUAGAAAGCUCAGCCAUCUGGCUAUUUGAUGGUUUCUAUUUUGGUUUCUUUUUGCAUUCACAAACUCUGUUGAGUCUGAAAUUCCCUCUGUUCUGCCCUAUAUAUAAUUGUGUAUAUGUACACACACAGUUUCUCAUUUAAAAUUAGCCAUUAUCAAUCUGGGUUUGUUUUACCGGCCACAGUGGCACUUUUGUGAGGUUGCUAACCUUGUUUCAUCUAUGAAUUAGUCAAAUAUGCAAUAAAUCCUGACUUUGAAGAUUGUUACCCACAGUAUAAGGGAUGCCAAGUCAAAAGCAUUUCUUAUUAAUAUGUACACACCCAUGUUUACUCAGAAGUUUUGUUGCUAGUAAUAUGUUCCUUGCCUUGGCUCUGAUGGAAAAGACGGAACCUACAGGCCAGAGGGAAAUUUAAAGCUCAUCUAAUUCAUGCCUCCAUUUUAUACCUGAGGAAGUUGGGGUCUAGAGAUGGAUAGAGAUUUGUGCAAGGUCAUAAAGCUAAUUAGUAGUUAAAUUACUUUUAGAACCCAGGUCUCUUGAUUUUUUUCUGUGCUCUGUUUUCAUAAAACUGGAUAAGAACUAUUAAAAAUACUUUUGGGAAUGUUCACAAAG
rnacentral:lncRNA from 1 species